AAGGACGGAAAAGUUGAAAUACGUGAACACGGGACUAAUCGCGGGCAACUAAAAGAGGUAUAAAACAUUGUGAUUAUUUUUUUUACGAUAAUAUUCAUUGGGUUUGCUAAUAAAUUGUUUGAUUUUUAUGGAAAAUAAAAUACAGUUUUCGGUGGAUUAUCCAAAUGAUAACAUCGUGGCCGUUGGUGGAAGCUACGAUCAUAUUUUCACAUAUGAUACAACGCUUAUCACAUCGCUAUACUUCACAACCUCCAGGGGUUUUACCUCUCCAUUAUUCGGUGAGAAGACAGGAACAGAUUUCGAGUUCCAAGGUGAAAAUAAAGGAAAGCUUCUCGGGUUCCAUGGACGUGCUGGGCAUGCUAUUGAUGCCAUCGGAGCUUACUUCCACACUGGUUCACAAGGUGGCCAGGGAGCUGGUUCACAAGGUGGCCAGGGAGCUGGUUCACAAGGUGGCCAGGGAGGUGACCCCGGAAAAGGUGGUCCUAGACCUGUUGUCCCCGGAAAGAUGGGACCCUUAGGUGGUGCCAAGGGAAAUGAAUUCGAUGAUGUUGGUUUUGAUGGUGUGAAGAAAGUAACUGUGGGAGCAGAUGAAUUCAGUGUAACUUAUAUCAAGAUCGAAUACAUAAAGGACGGAAAAGUUGAACGUGUGUCUGGUUACUACCGAACGACUUUCUCCGGAGACGUUAUAACGGCGUUAUUGUUUAGGACGAACAAGAAGACCUAUGGGCCUUAUGGAAACCUAACACGAAACUUCUUUUCUGCUGACGCACCGAGAAACAACCAAAUCGCUGGAUUUCUAGGAAAUAGUGGAAGUGCACUCAACUCCAUCAACGUUCAUUUUGCUCCCAUUCCUCCCCCUGGUAGCAUUAAACCAAAACCUGCUGGCCCCGGAACAGGCGACGCUGGAAGCGGUCAACCUGUUAGCCCAGGACCCGGCGAUGCGGGAGGUGGUCCAAAACCUGGUGGUCCUGGAACCGGUGAAAACGGAGCCGGCACUAAACCUAGUGGUCCCGGAACCGGUGAAAACGGAGCCGGCACUAAACCUGGUGACCUUGGAACCGGGGCAGAUGGAGAAGGUACUAAACCUGGUGGCUCUGGAACCGGCGAAGACGGAGCCGGUACUAAACCUGGUGGUCCUGGAACCGGUGAAAACGGAGCCGGCACUAAACCUAGUGGUCCCGGAACCGGUGAAAACGGAGCCGGCACUAAACCUGGUGACCUUGGAACCGGGGCAGAUGGAGAAGGUACUAAACCUGGUGGCUCUGGAACCGACGAAGACGGAGCCGGUACUAAACCUGGUGGCCUUGAGACAGGAGAAGACGGAGCUGGUACUAAACCUGUUGGCUCUGGAACUGGUAACGAUGGAGGCGGUCCUAGACCUGUUAUCCCUGGAAAGAUGGGACCCCUUGGUGGUGACAAGGGAAAUGAAUUCGACGAUGUUGGUUUUGAUGGUGUGAAGAAAAUAACUGUGGGAGCAGAUGAAUUCAGUGUAACUUAUAUCAAGAUCGAAUACAUAAAGGACGGAAAAGUUGAAAUACGUGAACACGGGACUAAUCGCGGGCAACUAAAAGAGGUAUAAAACAUUGUGAUUAUUUUUUUUACGAUAAUAUUCAUUGGGUUUGCUAAUAAAUUGUUUGAUUUUUAUGGAAAAUAAAAUACAGUUUUCGGUGGAUUAUCCAAAUGAUAACAUCGUGGCCGUUGGUGGAAGCUACGAUCAUAUUUUCACAUAUGAUACAACGCUUAUCACAUCGCUAUACUUCACAACCUCCAGGGGUUUUACCUCUCCAUUAUUCGGUGAGAAGACAGGAACAGAUUUCGAGUUCCAAGGUGAAAAUAAAGGAAAGCUUCUCGGGUUCCAUGGACGUGCUGGGCAUGCUAUUGAUGCCAUCGGAGCUUACUUCCACACUGGUUCACAAGGUGGCCAGGGAGCUGGUUCACAAGGUGGCCAGGGAGCUGGUUCACAAGGUGGCCAGGGAGGUGACCCCGGAAAAGGUGGUCCUAGACCUGUUGUCCCCGGAAAGAUGGGACCCUUAGGUGGUGCCAAGGGAAAUGAAUUCGAUGAUGUUGGUUUUGAUGGUGUGAAGAAAGUAACUGUGGGAGCAGAUGAAUUCAGUGUAACUUAUCUCAAGAUCGAAUACAUAAAGGACGGAAAAGUUGAGAUACGUGAACACGGGACUAAUCGCGGGCAACUAAAAGAGGUAUAAAACAUUGUGAUUAUUUUUUUUACGAUAAUAUUCAUUGGGUUUGCUAAUAAAUUGUUUGAUUUUUAUGGAAAAUAAAAUACAGUUCUCGGUGGAUUAUCCAAAUGAUAACAUCGUGGCCGUUGGUGGAAGCUACAAUCAUAUUUUCACAUAUGAUACAACGCUUAUCACAUCGCUAUACUUCACAACCUCCAGGGGUUUUACCUCUCCAUUAUUCGGUGAGAAGAAGGGAACAGAUUUCGAGUUCCAAGGUGAAAAUAGAGGAAAGCUUCUCGGGUUCCAUGGACGUGCUGGCUAUGCUAUUGAUGCCAUCGGAGCUUACUUCCACACCGGUUCACAAGGCGGUGAGGGAGGUGGUCCUAAACCUGUAGUACCCGUAAAGAUGGGACCCCUAGGUGGUGACAGGGGAAACGAAUUCAACGAUGUUGGUUUCGAUGGUGUGAAGAAAGUAGCUGUGGCAGCUGAUGAAUUCAGUGUAAGAUCGAGUACGUAAAGGAUGGAAAAGUUGAAAUCCGUGAGCACGGGACAAGUCGAGGGCAAGUAAAAGAGGUAUUAAUUAAAUAUUUUGGUGACUUCUGUUAAAUAUUGAAUAUUUUUUGCUACAUAUUUAUUUGUUUCUAAUGAAAAACUUACAUACAGUUUUCGGUGGAUCAUCCAAAUGAUAACUUCACGGCCGUUGGUGGAAGCUACGAUCAUAUUUUCACAUAUGAUACAACACUUAUCACAUCAUUAUACCUCACAACCUCAAGAGGAUUUACCUCUCCUUUAUUCGGUGAGAUGAAGGGAACAGAAUUCGAGUUCAAAGGUGAAAAUGGAGAAAAGCUUAUUGGAUUCCAUGGACGUGCUGGUCAUGCUAUUGAUGCUAUUGGGGCCUACUUCGACACUGGUUCUAAACCGGGCUUUCGGUGGAUUAUCCAAAUGAUAACAUCGUGGCCGUUGGUGGAAGCUACGAUCAUAUUUUCACAUAUGAUACAACGCUUAUCAAAUCGCUAUACUUCACAACCUCCAGGGGGUUUACCUCUCCAUUAUUCGGUGAGAAGACAGGAACAGAUUUCGAGUUCCAAGGUGAAAAUAGAGGAAAGCUUCUCGGGUUCCAUGGACGUGCUGGCUAUGCUAUUGAUGCCAUUGGAGCUUACUUCCACACCGGUUCACAAGGCGGUGAGGGAGGUGACCCCAGCAAAGGUGGUCCUAAACCUGUAGUACCCGUAAAGAUGGGACCCCUAGGUGGUGACAGGGGAAACGAAUUCAACGAUGUUGGUUUCGAUGGUGUGAAGAGAGUAGCUGUGGCAGCUGAUGAAUUCAGUGUAACCUAC
rnacentral:lncRNA from 1 species